AUUGAACGCUGGCGGCAGGCCUAACACAUGCAAGUCGAGCGAGCGGCGGACGGGUGAGUAAUGUAUGGGGACUUCCCCAUAGCGGGGGAUAACUACUGGAAACGGUAGCUAAUACCGCAUACUAUCGGAUAACCCAUAUGGGAUGAGCUAGUAGGUGAGGUAAUGGCUCACCUAGGCGACGAUGCCUAGCUGGUCUGAGAGGAUGAUCAGCCACACGGGGACUGAGACACGGCCCAGACUCCGACGGAGGCAGCAUUGGGGAAUAUUGCACAAUGGGCGCAAGCCUGAUGCAGCCAAUGCGCGUGUAUGAAGAAGGCCCUAGGGUUGUAAAGUACUUCCAGUCGGGAGGCGUUACCGACAGAAGAAGCACCGGCUAACUCCGUGCCAGCAGCCGCGGUAAUUC
rnacentral:rRNA from 1 species